rnacentral:lncRNA from 1 species
UUUUUUUUUUUUUUUUUUUUUUUGCACAGUCUCAAGUGGGAAGUCCCGUGGUUCUCAUAAAGCAAGCCUGUCUUUUUCCAUGACAUUUACAGAUUUAGCUUCAAUAAAAUAACGCAAACCCUGCCUCGGACAUUUGAAAACAGCAUGUUGCCUGAUAGGUCUGAUUUUGAUUGCACAUCAUAUAUUCUGCUCAGCACUCAGAGCGUGGCCGAUAAUCCCCCAGUUGCGGCCUCCCUCCCUUGGCCGGGGAAAGCUAACCAAACUACGUGAUGUGUUGCCUUCCCACAGCUUCCCCUCAUCCUCUUCCCCUUCAGCCACCACACUCUAUUCUUGGGGGAAUAUGCACCAGCUGAGUGGUGGCUUUCACCUUGGCUGGACAUUUAAGGAGGCAAGAGAAAGAAUAUUGUCUACUAAUUGAAUGCACCACUCAUUCCUGGAGACAAAAUUAGGUGAGGGUCACCAUCCCACUGGUGACCAGAGAUGAGCAUCUCACUUCCUUUGGAUGUUCAUGAGCCCCUACAACUUUCCUUCUUCUCUUAAGGUAUCACUUCCUACAGAUAACAGAGAAUGGGUCCUCAAAGGUCUUGUUCAGAAUCCUCUCUCAAGAGCUCAGCGAUUCUAUGUGUAGGCGAGAAAUAAGCCUAGUGCAAGAAUAGCCAUGUUGAAGGUGAUUAUUUUUCCUCUGACAAACAAAUUUCCAUUCCCUAGUGACUGGGGAAGAACGUGGUUGUAUAAUUCUCCUAACGCUCACAUAUCACACACACUCUCUUCUUCGUCUCCCCAGUGAUACACCUGCACAGAAGGCAGUUGGAAUGGUUUGGUCAAGGUCAUGGAAGUAGGCUGAAUGUUUACAUCAAGAACAGAACAGAGCAAGUUUCUGGGUGGUGCACAGGGUGGCAUAGGAUCACUUGGCAACCCUGGUUUCAGAUGCAGUGUCCUCUGCCAAAGCCUCGCUAGGAAACAAGUGUCUAAGAUAGAGUUGGUCCAGUGGCAGACACGGAGCCCGGGCAUUAUGAACUCACAGCUCUCAGUGUCUCCAUCUGCCCCUGAUUUAAUGUGGACGGCAGUAUCUCUACCACUGACAGGAACAGCAUUUCUUGUCGCGUCGUGUACUAAGCUAUUUCUGCCAUGACAUAUAUCAGCGGGAUCAGGAUCCUGAGGAUUUAUUGGGGGUGUUAAUAAUUGCAUGUGGGUAAGGUCCCAGCUCCUCAUCUGCAGCCCGGGGAGCCCUGCUAAACGGAGCCGGUGUAUAUUCUCUUUUGGACAGGGAGCUCAUAUUUAACACACGGCUUUGUCUUCUCUGACUGCCCCCUGAAAAAUUAUGUUUUUAGUAAAUAAAUAUUUAACAGAUUUCCUAGUGUCUGCAUUUUCUAUUAGUUUAGCCGGAUUCAAUAUCCAGUACCCUGAAAGCAAAAGUGUAAGAAAUUCUUUGGUAAAAAAAUAACAUUUCCUUAAACAGCUCCUUCCUUUUUGUGUUUCUUCACAUGAAUUAUUUCUUCCAUUCACAUCCCAAUUUUGUUUUCAAAGUAGAGAUACCUGCCUUCUCUUGUUUAAAAACGUACUUAAAAAAAACAGAUACAAAGGACGAGGAAGCACACGAAUAUGGUCUGUCGAUAACUAGGAAAGAAACCUAAGGUCACCAGAAUUCUUCAUGUCCACUUAGUAUUCUCAUCUUUUGUUUCUCUGACUCUUUCCCCAAAGCCAGUUUGCCAAAGUGUUAAGAAGACAUUGCAAAAUUGGAUUUGCUCCAUCUUAUCCAAAAUAAAAUUGACUACAACUAAAUCUAUUAUGUAUUAAUUAAAUAUAAGUUGAGAGCAUCUAUCCACUUGGUCCCCAAACCAUUGAAUAUAUCAGAUUUAAGUGCCUCUGGGUUUUGUUAUAAGCAUUUUCAGAAAAAGCCAACUGUGGUUAAAAUUCACAACCUGUAGAUACUCUUUACAUCAGAUAUUGCAAUUGCCUGGAGAUAUUAUUUUUAUGGGCAUUCAUUUAUUUCCAAUUUCCACAACAUUCUGGGAAACUUCUCUAUGAAAGGGAAAAAUGCAAAAGUAAAAUACAUAGUGCCAAGUUAUAUUCUGAUGUGUAUAGACAUAUCUCCAUCAGUGACAUUUAUUUCCUGUCUCUCAAUGUUCAUAAAUGGUAAUAUGUUCUCCUUUGUCCUCUGAUUUUUUUCGUGUUUAAUUAUAUUUUUCCUGGAACAUGGGUAUGUUUCUUCUUUUUGGUAUAUUGUAUUUGUUUAUAUGAUUUCCUAUUAACUAGGUACAGCUAAGAAAAAUGAGACUCUAACAAAAUGACUGAACUGUCCUAUUGCAGAGGAGAGGGAGAGGAGAUGAAGAAAAGGAGACUAUUCAUUGAAGGAAAGCAAAAUGUAAAUACAUUUCUAUUUAAAAAGUAGGUAACCUCAUGUUAGUGCAGAACUGGAAAAGACUAAUGUAUACAUUUCCUUUCACAGAUGAGGAAACUGUGGUUCAGAGGCAAUUUGCCUCACAUCUUAGAAGGAGAGGCACAUCUGCAUCCCAACUAACAGGCCAAGGUCAUGUUCAUGCUGCCAACUCAGAGCAUCUGGACCAGAAAGCAGCUACUCCUUCCAAAAGAAGUUCUUAUGAGGUCUGGUUACAUGCUCUUAUGUUGCAUUUAAAAUCUAAAUUCAUCUCCUAUUUUCUCCUCUUCCUAUCCCUAGAAGACACCUUCAAGACUUCCUAAGACCCUGUCAGCCGCCUCCUUAUGCCAUCACGCACCCUCCUUGUUUCUUCCUGCUUAACAUAUAUAUAGCAAACAUGAGGAGACUGAGGGAACAAUGUCUAGAGAACAGACACCUCAUGCCAAAUAGAGCAGGCAAUCAAAAUGGUCUUGAAUUUUGAAUAAAUGUGCAAAUUAACAAAUUUAAGGGAACAUGAGAUCUAAAAACAUCAAAUUCUAUAUCCUAUCCGGAAUACAAUCUACUGCUACACAACCUACUACACACACAAUCUACUUAGACAAAUAGUCCAGAGGUCUCCACUUCAUAGAUGAGGAGGACAAUUAGAGAUACAAAGAACAGAAAUCUGUUCACACUACACCAGCCUCUCCUUGUCCAACACAUUUGUCUUAUACUCUAAACACCAUGUAGAAGCAUAAAAAGGAAUGAAUUUAUAUAGACCAUUAGAAAGCAGUUUGAAACAGACCACAUAGAGAUCACAAAGCCAUCAUCUGCUGGUGUUGGAAUGUCUGGGUGUGUGUGUGUGAUGAAUGCAUUUGCAAAUAUUGCUGUGAAGUAAUUUCCUUCCAUUUCUGGAGUACUCCAGAUAAAUUAGAUUUCCCUCUAAUCACAUCUGCUGCCUGUGUACGAGAAAAGAUAGUUUGUCUGCAUAAGACACAUAAUACAUACUUGGAGGGUAGAGGGCAAAGAGGCUUAGUGGAAAGUUACCACGUAUAAUCGUAAUGGGGCAGAGUACAAACAAAAAGUCAUAGGACAUUUCUCCAGUAGAGACUAUGCAAAAUGACAGCCUGAAUGUUGCUGUGAGAAUCUUACAGAGCAUGUGCAAUUCACCUGUAGGAUGUAAACGAGACCUUCCUCAAAUGUGGCACCAUGUUGAGAACUGGCUAACCCAGGCUGAAUACUUUAAAGGAACAAACUAAUGAGAAUGAAGAUACAGCCAUUCAAAAUCUUUGGGAUGCAGCAAAAGCAGUCCUGAGAGGGGAAAUACAUCGCAAUACAAGCAUCCAUCCAAAAACUGGAAAGAACUCAAAUACAAAAGCUAACCUUGCACCCAAAGGAGAUAGAGAAAAAACAGCAAAUAGAUCCUACACGCAGAAGAAGAAGAGAGUUAAUGAAGAUUCGAGAACUCAACAAAAUCGAGAUCAGAAGAACUGUGGAACAGAUCAACAAAACCAGGAGUUGGUUCUUUGAAAGAAUUAAUAAGAUAGAUAAACCAUUAGCCAGCCUUAUUAAAAAGAAGAGAGAAAAGACUCAAAUUAAUACUUUAAAGGAACAAAUCUGAUUUGCCAGGGUAUUAACCCAAUACAUGCACACUGAAACUGGAACUGGAAAGAAAGUGUGGAUGUAUUGGGUUAACAUCCUGGUAAAUCAGAAUUAAGAUAGAAGAAAAUUCAAACUGAAAUGUGAUUAAUAAAGUGAUUAUACAUAGCUGUAGCAUAUGUAGGUCAGCCUCAGAGCUUUUUCUGACAGUUAAUAUCUAAUUAGGGGAGCUUGAGUGGCUCAGUCGGUUAAGCGACUGACUCUUGGUUUUGACUCAGGUCGUGAUCUUGAGGUUGGGAGAUCGAGCCCCACAUCAGGCUCUGCAAUUAGUGUGGAGUCUUCUUGAGAUUCUCUGUCUCUCGCUUUGCCUCUGCUCUCCCCCUGCUCCACGCUUGCGCACAUUCUCUAAAAUUAAAAUUAUUUAAAAUACCUAAUCCUAGAAAGUGCUAAAAUUUUAAAAAGAAGUAUUAAAAACAGUUGUCCGUCAUGCAGUCAAAUAUCCCUUAAUGUCACAUGCUGAUAGCAGAUGCUGUUAGUGAACUGCCCAAGUUCACCUUGGGGCAUACCAUUUCAGAAAAUGCCCACCAUGUCCUGCUGCAAGCUUUUGUGACUCUCUACUUAAGGCCUUCAUGUGACAGGCUAGAUGUACUGGGGAUUUAACAUCCAUGAACAGCUAACAAUAGGUGGUAGUUGGAGAACAAAUACUCUCCUUGCCUUUAGGUGGAAAGACUGAGACCCGCUCCUCACAAUGCCCCAAUGUUUCCCAGAGGGGCUAUGCCCUAGUGAUAUAUAAAUACCUUUCACUGGCUUCCUUCCAUCCUGGUCAUAUUUCCAUACUCCAUUACCCCCUUUUUCCUGAAAUUAUCUACAAAACAAAUGGCCUGCAAUCUAAUCUUAUUUCAAGUCGUCAACAGAAACCCAGCUGAAAGCACGACCUGUUCAAGUUCUGCCAAUAUUUGAAAAUUAAGCUACAUAAAUGUCUAAGAAUGUCCAAAACAAUGGUUAUAAAUCCUAAGCACCAAAGUCCACGCACUUAACUUACAAUGAAAAUGGCAAGAAAUAGUAGGAACAUUGAGGAAAGAGGCAGAAAAACAACCAAAAUGAUGUGAUAACUUAUGAAGCAUUUAGGAGGGAGACAAUCAGGCUUCAGGAACCUAAUAUCUGAAGGCGUUAGCACGGCAUCUGGGAGUACAGUUCCCAUCUAAUGAUGGUCUGAGUACCUUGAUCAUUAAAAAGAUGAAUGGCAAUUGAUGUGCUCUAAGCGUACACAGUGC